rnacentral:misc_RNA from 1 species
GAUGAAGAACGUAGCGAAAUGCGAUAAGUAAUGUGAAUUGCAGAAUUCAGUGAAUCAUCGAAUCUUUGAACGCACAUUGCGCCCGCCAGUAUUCUGGCGGGCAUGCCUGUUCGAGCGUCAUUACAGCCCUCAGGCCCCCGGGCCUGGCGUUGGGGAUCGGCGGAAGCCCCCUGCGGGCACAACGCCGUCCCCCAAAUACAGUGGCGGUCCCGCCGCAGCUUCCAUUGCGUAGUAGCUAACACCUCGCAACUGGAGAGCGGCGCGGCCACGCCGUAAAACACCCAACUUCUGAAUGUUGAACUCGAAUCAGGUAGGAAUACCCGCUGAACUUAAGCAUAUCAAUAAGCGGAGGA